GAGUUUGAACCUGGCUCAGGAUGAACGCUGGCGGCGUGCCUAAUACAUGCAAGUCGAGCGAACCACUUUGGUGGUGAGCGGCGAACGGGUGAGUAACACGUAGGUGAUCUGCCCAUCAGACGGGGACAACGAUUGGAAACGAUCGCUAAUACCGGAUAGGACGAAAGUUUAAAGGUGCUUCUGGCACCGCUGAUGGAUGAGCCUGCGGCGCAUUAGCUAGUUGGUAGGGUAAAGGCCUACCAAGGCGACGAUGCGUAGCCGACCUGAGAGGGUGAACGGCCACACUGGGACUGAGACACGGCCCAGACUCCUACGGGAGGCAGCAGUAGGGAAUCUUCGGCAAUGGGCGAAAGCCUGACCGAGCAACGCCGCGUGAAUGAUGAAGGCCUUCGGGUUGUAAAAUUCUGUUAUAAGGGAAGAACGACUUUAGUAGGAAAUGGCUAGAGUGCGACGGUACCUUAUGAGAAAGCCACGGCUAACUACGUGCCAGCAGCCGCGGUAAUACGUAGGUGGCGAGCGUUAUCCGGAAUUAUUGGGCGUAAAGAGCGCGCAGGUGGUUGAUUAAGUCUGAUGUGAAAGCCCACGGCUUAACCGUGGAGGGUCAUUGGAAACUGGUCGACUUGAGUGCAGAAGAGGGAAGUGGAAUUCCAUGUGUAGCGGUGAAAUGCGUAGAGAUAUGGAGGA
rnacentral:rRNA from 1 species